AUUGAACGCUGGCGGCAGGCCUAACACAUGCAAGUCGAACGAGUGGCGGACGGGUGAGUAAUGUCUGGGAACCUGCCUGAUGGAGGGGGAUAACUACUGGAAACGGUAGCUAAUACCGCAUACCAUCAGAUGUGCCCAGAUGGGAUUAGGUUGUUGGUGGGGUAACGGCUCACCAAGGCGACGAUCCCUAGCUGGGCUGAGAGGAUGACCAGCCACACUGGAACUGAGACACGGUCCAGACUCCUACGGGAGGCAGAAGUGGGGAAUAUUGCACAAUGGGCGAAAGCCUGAUGCAGCCAUGCCGCGUGGAUGAAGAAGGCCUUCGGAUUGUAAAGUACUUUAAGCGGGGAGGCGUUACCCACAGAAGAAGCAACGGCUAACUCCGUGCCAGCAGCCGCGGUAAUAC
rnacentral:rRNA from 1 species